rnacentral:tRNA from 1 species
GGGGAUGUAGCUCAAUGGUAGAGUACUUGCCUAGCGUGCAUGAAGCCCUGGGUUCAUA